GACGAACGCUGGCGGCGUGCUUAACACAUGCAAGUCGAACGAAGUGGCGAACGGGGGAGGAAUAGGUGGGUAAACGGCCCUCCUUUUUGGGAUAAGCGUUGGAAACGGGGUCUAAUACGGACUAAGGGGGCGUGGGCUCGUGGCCUAUCGGCGUGGUGGUGGUGUGAUGGCCUACCAAGGCGGUGACGGCUAGCCGGCCUGAGCGGGUGCCCGGCGACAUGGGGACUGACCUACGGCCCAGGCUACUACGGGGGGGAGCAUUGGGGGAUAUUGCCGAAUGGGUGACCGCCCGAUGCAGCGAGGACGCGUAGGGGAUUAAGGCUUUCGGGUUGUAAACCUCUUUCGCUAUCGAGCGGGUAGGUGGAGAAGAAGCGCCGGCUAACUACGUGCCAGCAGCCGCGGUAAUUC
rnacentral:rRNA from 1 species